rnacentral:rRNA from 1 species
ACGCUCGACACCUACUGGAGGCAGCAGUCGGGAAUAUUGCGCAAUGGAGGGAACUCUGACGCAGUGACGCCGCGUAUAGGAAGAAGGUUUUCGGAUUGUAAACUAUUGUCGUUAGGGAAGAGAAAGGACAGUACCUAAGGAGGAAGCUCCGGCUAACUACGUACCAGCAGCCGCGGUAAUCUGAGCGGGCUGGCAAGGC